rnacentral:lncRNA from 1 species
AAGGGUCGUUUGGGGGAAGGAAAGGAAAAGACUAUCUUAGUCAUUUCCUUGUUUGGCCCAUGGAUUAAGGGGAGGGAAAGUGUUAAACUUAAUCCCCCUUAAUCCUUCUCUUUUCCCAUUUAUUCCCUUAAUUUUCCCACUUUUUCCUUCCCAUUUCCAAUAUAAUCCUGUCAUUUUUCAGAACAAUCAUUCUCUUUCUUCUUUUCCAUCUUCUCUUUCCUCAUUAAAUUCUUCCUUUUCUUCUUUUCACACUCAAACAACUUAGGGCUUCUCUUUUUCUCUUCUCACAGCCGUCUCUGCUUCUCUCUUUCUCUUCUCACAACCGUCUCUCUUUCUUUUCUCACAGUCGAACAAUUUAGGGCUUCUCUCUUCCUCUUCUCAUAGUCGUCUCUCUUCCUCUUCUCACAGCCCAACAAUUAACUCUUCUAUCUUCUUCUUCUCACAGUCGAAGGAAUUCCUCUCUUCCUCUUUGGCACUCAUUGAUUUUUCUCCACGUUCAACACCAUCUUCUUCACGGUAUUUUGAUGCACGCUGGUUUUCUAAACCUCACAUUUUUUUUCUUUAUUAUUCGUCUGAAGAGUGAGAGGGCAGUGAGUGAGAGAGGGCACGACGAUGGCAGAUGAAAGAGGGUUUUUAUAUAAGUGAGAUGGUUGUAUAGAAAAGAACGCUGCGAAAAAGCAUAAGACGGAGAAGCCUUCACUGUGAGCAGAACUGCAUGAAGGAGCCUUCACCGCAAUAACCACCUUGAGCUAUCACCGAGCGGAGGAGCCUGGUGGAGGAGGGGAAUCGACGACUUGUGCGAGACCAUUGUGGGAAAUUGACGACAUGCGAUUUAGAAGAGGAAUCAUGCAAUUGGAAGAGGAAGAAAAAGAAAGAAGGGUUUUCUUCGUGAAACUGGAAGAAAUGGAAAAUUGGGAAACACUAGUG